AUGCUGGUUCUGUCCACAGUUUCUGGUGAUAUUAUAUGGACACGCUGGGUCUGUCCACAGUUCCUGGCUAACAACUCUCAUAGCUCUUGGUAUUUUUCCCCAAGGCAGGCCCUGAGACUAGCAAGGGACUCUAACACCCCCCACCUUUCUGUCUUGGAGCUGGCCACAAAUAAAUUCUCUGACCUACCUUGUCUGACUGUGGGUCACAAGACCCCCAUUUCUCAAGGGGCCCUGCCCCACACCCCGGGGGAGGAAUGCUACACAGAGAGGCCAGGAAGAAUCUGCACAGACAGGCUCUGCUGGGUUUAGAUCACACCCUUUUGGUCCAGUCCCAUUUGUACACUGCUGUCAAUCAUGUCUAUCCAAUGAAGUCUCCACAAAAGGCCCAGGCGGACAGGGUUUGGGGAGCGUCCAGAUAACUGAACACAUGGGGAUCCCUGGAGGGACAUGGAGCAGCCAUGCCCCAGAACCACGCCCUACGCAUCACUUCACCUGCACCCUUCGUACUAGCCUUUAUGAUCAAAUAAACGUGUUUCCCUGAGUUCUGUGAGCCACUCUAGCAAACUAAUUGAAUCCAAAGAGGGGGUCAUGAGAUGUCCAUUCACAGUCUGUCGUGCAGGAGCGCAGGUCACAACCUGAGGCUUGAGGCUAGGCUAACAUGAGAAGUAGGAGGCAGUCCUGGGACUGCCCUGUGGGGUCUGACACUACCUCCAGGUAGACGGUGUCAGAAUCGAGUUGGAGGACACCCAGCUGGUGCCCACUGCAGAACGGAUUGCUUGUUUGCUGAUGGGGAGAAAUCCCCACAUAUUUUGGGGUCACAGAAGUCUUCUGUGUUGUAGUGGGACAGCAGAGGAAUAAUAGCUUAAAGUCUUUUCUCAGCUCACACCCAUGAAAUUUGGGAAUUCUCCAUUGUGCAAAAGAGGGAAAAUGCACAUUAGACAUGCGACAAUCAAACUUUCAGUACAUGCUAAAUCUAUUGCUAAAUGGCCCUUGCUCAACAAAUACUUGCAUGUACGUCACAAGCCAGGCAUGGGAGAGAGACGAGACCACGUGUAGUUAAACUCUACCUGGACCAGCCGUGAAAACUAAGGCUUAAAGAGUACAAAGUGAUCUUAAUAGGGACACACGUUUAACAAGCACUGUCAAAAUACAAUUAUUCAUCACACAGGGUAAGGUGAGUUGUGUGCAAAAACAAAGUUUGUGUACAUUUAAGUCACUUUUCAUUCUUAUUUUUUAUUUUUUAAAAAAUUAAAAAUAUGGCCAGGAGCGGAGGUGCCUCAUCCGAGGCAGGUGGAUCGCCUGAGGUCAGGAGUCUGAGACUAGCUGGCCAACGUG
rnacentral:lncRNA from 10 species